GAUGAACGCUAGCGGCAGGCCUAACACAUGCAAGUCGAGGGGCAGCACAUAAAGUGGUUUACUACUUUUGGUGGCGACCGGCGGACGGGUGCGUAACGCGUAUGCAACCUGCCUCCAACGGGGGGAUAACGGAGAGAAAUUUCCACUAAUACCCCAUAAUAUCAGAAUCGGCAUCGGUUUUGGUUGAAAACUCCGGUGGUUGGAGAUGGGCAUGCGUUGUAUUAGAGAGUUGGUGAGGUAACGGCUCACCAAGUCAACGAUACAUAGGGGGACUGAGAGGUUAGCCCCCCACACUGGUACUGAGACACGGACCAGACUCCUACGGGAGGCAGCAGUGAGGAAUAUUGGUCAAUGGGGGCAACCCUGAACCAGCCAUGCCGCGUGCAGGAAGACGGCUCUAUGAGUUGUAAACUGCUUUUACAAGGGGAUAAAUCGGUGUACGUGUACACCGUUGAAGGUACCUUGGGAAUAAGGAUCGGCUAACUCCGUGCCAGCCGCCGCAGUAA
rnacentral:rRNA from 1 species